GCUACUAUGGCCGAGCGGUCUAAGGCGUUGGAUUCAAGUCCCAAUACCGCGAGGUUCCUGGGUUCGAACCCCAGUGGUAGCA
rfam:Trichomonas vaginalis G3, whole genome shotgun sequence.